AUGAUGGAUGUAAUUUUCUGUUGCAUCAAAAAGCAAGUUAACUCGGCGUAUGCAGUAGCAACUACCAACCAUUCAUACUGGAGCAAAGGUCCAAGUAUAGAUUGGACAAGAAGGGUGAUGCCCUUUUUUUCUGCCAACGCUGGAAGUGAGGUACACGUCUUAAAAGGAAAGGAGACCUCAUCAUCCUCAUCGGCGAGGAUCUUGGAGCAGUUGAAGCAGACGCAGCGCAUGAUGGAGAGCACGGUCUUGAUGAAGCCGAUGUGGAACAUGGGCUUUGCGAGCUCGAGGUGGCCGAAGUGGCCCGGGCAUUCGGCCAUCCCGGCCAUGCAUGUCUCGCACUUGGUCCUCCGGUCAAUGGUGCCCAGACGAGGGUCGCUCAGACCACCGGGCUUGGGCUUCCCCUUCUCCAUGGUCUCUGCAUGCUCUAUCACCGCCACCGACAUUUGCCUCUGCAAGCAAGCAGUUCAACACAGAAUCUGUCAAAUUCGAUUCAUCCUAAAAUUUGUGAUACCUACACAGUACUGA
rnacentral:rRNA from 1 species